UACGUAGGUGGCAAGCGUUGUCCGGAAUUAUUGGGCGUAAAGCGCGCGCAGGCGGUCCUUUAAGUCUGAUGCGAAAGCCCACGGCUCAACCGUGGAGGGUCAUUGGAAACUGGGGGACUUGAGUGCAGGAGAGAAGAGUGGAAUUCCACGUGUAGCGGUGAAAUGCGUAGAGAUGUGGAGGAACACCAGUGGCGAAGGCGACUCUUUGGCCUGUAACUGACGCUGAGGCGCGAAGGCGUGGGGAGCGAACGGG
rnacentral:rRNA from 1 species